AACGAACGCUGGCGGCGUGCUUAACACAUGCAAGUCGAACGCGAAAGGGGCUUCGGUCCUGAGUAAAGUGGCGCACGGGUGAGUAACGCGUGGAUAAUCUACCCGAUGGACCGGGAUAACAUUUCGAAAGGGGUGCUAAUACCGGAUAAGACCACGGGCUCUUCGGGGUCUGGGGUAAAAGGUGGGGACCUUCGGGCCUACCGUCAUCGGAUGAGUCCGCGUACCAUUAGCUAGUUGGUGGGGUAAGAGCCUACCAAGGCGACGAUGGUUAGCUGGUCUGAGAGGAUGAUCAGCCACACUGGAACUGAGACACGGUCCAGACUCCUACGGGAGGCAGCAGUGGGGAAUUUUGCGCAAUGGGGGAAACCCUGACGCAGCAACGCCGCGUGAGUGAUGAAGGCCUUCGGGUCGUAAGACUCUGUCAGAGGGAAGGAAAUAGCAGGGGCGGCGUAAUAAUCGCUUAUGCUUGACGGUACCCUCAAAGGAAGACACCGGCUAACUCCGUGCCAGCAGCCGCGGUAAA
rnacentral:rRNA from 1 species